GAUGAAGAACGUAGCGAAAUGCGAUAAGUAAUGUGAAUUGCAGAAUUCAGUGAAUCAUCGAAUCUUUGAACGCACAUUGCGCCCGCCAGUAUUCUGGCGGGCAUGCCUGACUGAGCGUCAUUUCAACCCUCAUGCCCCUAGGGCGUGGUGUUGGGGAUCGGCCAAAGCCCGCGAGGGACGGCCGGCCCCUAAAUCUAGUGGCGGACCCGUCGUGGCCUCCUCUGCGAAGUAGUGAUAUUCCGCAUCGGAGAGCGAUGAGCCCCUGCCGUUAAACCCCCAACUUUCCAAGGUUGACCUCAGAUCAGGUAGGAAUACCCGCUGAACUUAAGCAUAUCAAUAAGCGGAGGA
rnacentral:misc_RNA from 1 species